AGGGCCAUUUUGUGUUGUCAGC
rnacentral:miRNA from 2 species